CUGGGUAACAUAAAUAAAGUACAUGACACUGUGAAAAAAUGUUACAUAUUUAGUUAUUUUUUGUAGUAAAAUUAACAUUUACUAAUUAGUAUUCAACUUUGAAGUGAUUUGUUCCGUAUAUCAGGGAGCACUUUAUCACUAGACUGUGAGUCAUAUUUUACAGGCCCUAAUAUUCAAAAGGUUUUGUUAAUAUUUUUUAUAUCGACUAUGAGGAAUAUAUAUUAUAAUUUAUUGUUUGUUUAUAAAUUUUUGGUUUGAAAAGACCCAGAGCCUCUCUAUGCCAGAGUCCUUUAAGAAGAGUUACGAUACCAAGGAAACUGCCUGACGUCAGCUGAUAAUCAGCUGUAAUAAAUUUGUGGCCAUAUUCAAAUCUUAUUAACUGUGAAGAAAAAGUAAUUUUUCCAAUAAAUCGACCUAAAAUCCCAAAAUUAGGACAGAAAUUCCUUUGUGUAGCUCUGUUAAAUGCUCGAGCUAAUAUGGAGACAAAGAUUCCACUCUUUUCCCCAUAAGAGUAUCUAAAAGAAAUAGAUACUACGAAUGAACCAGCCUGAUAUCCUUGCGAAGUUAUUCGUCUUUACGCCUCUUAAAUUUUUUGGGAGGAAUUUUCCAAAGUGGAAAUCCUUUUUAGAUCAAAGAUUUAAAAAAGAUGACAAAAAUUGAAAAAUCUAUUAGCGAAAUGGCUAUUGGAAUGAUAAAGUUGUUUACAGAAAUUUCAAAAUGCCAUGACAUAGUUAAUUUUCUUAUUAGUCACAAUAUUUGUAUUCAGCUGCACAUACAUUUACGAAAAGAAACCAAAAUUAUAAAAGAGGUUCCUCCUUUGACAGAAGAAUAUAAACAAAAUUAAAUUUAGAAUAAAAAGUUUAUAAAGCAGCAUAAAUUUAAAAAUAUUGCAUAAAAUAAUUGUGGAAUCUAAUUGAAAAUGGGAAGUCCAUACGAUUAAGUAUUUAAUGAAAAAGGGCUCUGGAAAAGACUAAAUUAAAUAG
rnacentral:lncRNA from 1 species